CACACAAAGCUCCGCUGCUGCCGAGACGUUUUGGGGCGUGGCCUAAUCGCGAAAGACGUGGCCACGCCCCCUUAUGGAAAAACGUUAGGGUGGGAAUCUGUGCAGUGCCUGACAGUGACCCCUGACUGAGUCCCCAGCCCUGGCUCAGCCCCUCAGCCAGGGUCAAUUCGAAGGGGGGAAUGUGAUCUGUGUGAUCACCCCAUCCCCCCCCCCCCCCCCCCACCUGUACAGGAACAGGCAGAGGCGGAGCAGUAACAGCAGCCUCGCUGCAGCACAGCACACUGCAGCUGUGCUGCCAACAUGAGGGCUUAUGCUGCUGCCCAGUAAGGAGGGAGGGGGCCCCUCCAUCAGUCCCAGGCAAUUAGUACCUGCUCCCAAACCCCCCCCCUGCACGUCACUGAUGACAUCCUACGGAGCCGCUGCUGCUGGAGUAACCGGAGAAACUGGAGGCGGAGAAGAGAGAGGAGGAGCAGUGCCCGAGCCGGGACCUCCUGCAGCUCCUGAUCAUCCGCAUGUUCUCAGUUAUGAAGUGAUUGAAAUUGAACAACCUUCUGCAAAUUGGUUUUGCAGAAUGUUCACAGAAACUCAAAAUAUUUCAGGAGACUUGAUUUACUUAAAUGUAACUACACAGUUUACACUUACAGUAUGUAUCUGAUACCAGUAAAACCAUUGCAUGAUAAACAGGGGCGGAUUGGGCUGCCGGGAUGCCAGGCCAGACCACUUGGCCGGUCCUGUUGCCCCUUCAGUGGCUGCACUCAAACCUCCCCCCCCCCCUUACCCCCGCCAGGUUGCUGCGAUCGAGGCUCAGCUCCAAUCGGGCAGUGUUAGUUACACUAAAACCUUAGAAAAAUGGUCCGGACGCAGUAGCUCCUCCCAUAAGUCUUUGCGUAGCACGUCAAUCACCCCUGGCGGCUCUGCCUCUGGAUCCGCCUACAUCUCUCUUUACAAAAGCAAGCUUGAAGCAGCUGCAGCAGCCAAGAACGGAAGCCGGUGGCCUGCCUAUUCUGACAGCGUCGCACUAAUUUGUGUGACAGUCAGUACGGCCGGGGUUAUGUUCCAUCUGAAAUGUAGCUGUAUUAAAUACAGAUGUUUUCACACA